AUAAGAUCACUGGGAUGUGAGAUACGCACGCGUCCUGGUGGCCUCCCAGCUGUCGCGUUACUUUAUACGUCGAAGCUUGAGCCACUUGUAUACACACACAUCUCAUAUAUUUUAUAUAUAAUAUACUCUACUUAUAAUGCUCUUGGUAUAGAAGCAAACCCGGUUACUCGCCCUCUACUCAUACUUUUAAUAUUUCGUCUUCGUCGGUUCACUUCUGGACAAUCAACAACGCACGUGCGUACAAAUCUCAGCUCAAAUCUCCAAUACAUAACAAGACUAAACUUAAUAUAAUGUUUGUAAAGGAGGCUGUAUUACGUUUCGUAAACACUCUCAAAUUACGAACAAAUAUAUAUACUCUCAAGGACUAACUGUGAAGACAUAAAUACCUUGUUCGGCAAAUCCUUGCGAGCAAUUUUAUAUUUACUGUUUUUUAUUAAACGUCGAACGAGUCACGCGGAACGAGUAGUACGCGAUACGAUACGCGCAAACCAAAGUGCGAAGUCAAGGAGACGCGACAUACACACGACACGAGAAAGAAGCCAACAUGGCGUGCUGCAAUAAUCAUCGAUGGCCCGUACACAUGCUUCGCGACGUAUGCCUCAUCUCAUCCACUUCUACUUCUUGUCUUAUAACCACUGUCAAUAAAUAAAUAAAUAAUAAAAGCAAUAUGCAUACGCCAAGUGUACCGUAAAUGAUAUCAAAAUAAAAUCAAGUAUUGAUAAAAAAUAAUUGAGAUGGGAAAAAUGUGACACCUCAAUGCAUCGAUUGCAACCGCGACAGGAUAGGAGAGAUCUCCAAGUCGACGAGGAUGACCGAGUAAGAGAAAGUUCUAGAUCAACUUAUAGACAGCCAAUACCAAUACCAUCUCCAGUACCAAGAGCACGAGCAAGAUGAUCAACCAAGACUUGAACGCCAAAGGAUCGUCUUUCGUGAAAUCUCUGGGUGAUCGCGUGUCGAUAAGUAUUUUUUUUCCGACUGAAAUUACCCAUCCGGAAGUUCACCAGCAAGUAACACAAUACAGUAAAUGUCAAAAUUAUCUACUUGGUUUUUUUUUUUUUUUUUUUCUAAUUUGAAUAAUAAAGAGAAGAAAAUCCAGAGAAUGAUUAAGUUAAUUCCGAGUACUUGUGUCAUUAAUUCCUUCAAGUUUAAGGUCUCGUCUCGACACAAGUCUGGACUUUCGUCAACCGUCGUGGUCGUGCUCGUCGUCGCUGUGCCGUUUAGCUUGUAAACUUCUUGGAAAGAUCAUCUCGGUAUGCACUGCAGCACCGAGAUGUGAUCGUCGUGUAAGUCUGCAGCUGUCGGCGAGUCUAUACGCACGCACUUGGUACAGUCUUAGCGACCUUGCUCUUGUCCUUUCUAGGCUUACACUGCAUCUCUGGUUACUCAUACUCACAAACAGACACACAUACAUACGUAAUAAACAUUGU